rnacentral:rRNA from 1 species
ACUCAAAUGAAUAGACGGGGGCUCACACAAGCGGAGGAGCAUGUGGAUUAAUUCGAAGCAACGCGCAGAACCUUACCUGGGUUUGACAUGCACGGAUGCCGUCCAUGAAAGUGGAGCCGGCUGCCUUCGGGUGAAACGUGCACAGGUGCUGCAUGGCUGUCGUCAGCUCGUGCUGUGAAGUGUCGGGUUAAGUCCCUUAACGAGCGAAACCCCUGUCGUUAGUUGCCAGCGUCAAGCCGGGCACUUUAACGAGACUGCCGGCGUCAAGCCGGAGGAAGGUGGGGAUGACGUCAAGUCAUCAUGGCCUUUAUGCCCAGGGCGUCACACGUGCUACAAUGGCGUGCACAGAUCGAUGCGAGACCGUAAGGUGGAGCAAAUCGCACAAAACACGCCCCAGUUCGGAUUGGGGUCUGCAACUCGACCCCAUGAAGUUGGAUUCGCUAGUAAUCGCGGAUCAGCCACGCCGCGGUGAAUGUGUUCCUGAGCCUUGUACACACCGCCCGU